AAUGUUUGUUCUGUUAUUGUUUAGAAGUCGGAGUUUUCCACGAAAUAGACACGUUAAUUCUCAGACCUCCUGGAACAUGAUCAAUCCUAAGGCAGGAAAUAAAGACUAAGGACAUGGGGCUUAGGUUGAAGUGUGGGGGAGAUAACUGCCUCCUUGAUCUGAACCUCAAGGAUUUGUAGAAUGAAGUAUCUUCCCACUGCGGGGAGGCAGGCUGGCCGUUCCUCCAUGGCAGCAGUAGAGAGCAAUGUAGAAGUCAAACCCAGAGACUGGGGAAUCUGGGCAAAGAUGAGGAACGUGACAUUACAUAACUUGCUUCUUCCAAGUGCCUCCUCCAAAAGAGUC
rnacentral:lncRNA from 1 species